UUAGACGCAGAUACUCGAGAUCAAACAACACAGAGAAAUUAACCCUUAAGAAAACUGAGUGAUUACACAGGAUUCUGCAUGAGAACAUUACUAUAUCAGUGUUUUGGACUGUAAUAUUAUCCUAAUAAUGAAAUUAAGUGGAGUUUUUAGCAUAAACUAUAAUCGGGAGCAAAUGAAAGGGUAGUUUCGUCCAAAAAAA
rnacentral:lncRNA from 1 species